rnacentral:lncRNA from 1 species
CAUCUAUGGGUGCUAUGUUUGGGCUUGUUAUCAUUUGCUGUAGCUGAAGACUUUACCACCAUGCUAUUAUUGCUGUACUUGAGGUAAAGUUGUCUUAUGAUACCUUGAAGUUCUUCGCUUGGAAUUCUCUGUUUGCUGCUCUGAAAGUUAUUGUUGUGUGGGUUGGGACUGAAUGUCUAAAUUAUGUCUUUCCUAAUAGACUUGGUUUUCUUUUUGGUCUGGAUAUAACAGUAACAUGAGCCUAAUUUUUCCUAUGUAUGAUCCUGCUGCUUUCUUAGACAAAGAAGUAGUUUGUUAACACACUCUGCAUCCUUAUGUCUAUUUGCAUCUGUUCAUUUGAUGUUUUUCUCCUGCAGAGUGGCAGUAAGUACUUCUGAGACAUUAAAUAGUGGAACAAUUCAAACCCAUGAUUUAGAACUGUCAUUCUGAGGAUGUAUUCCCUUAGAUGGACGGGUUGGGGUUAUUUCUGAACAUGAAAUGAACUCAUGCAGAAGAAGUCUUAGGAACUCUUACAGAGAAGUGUCACAGUAUGGAAAUUGAAAUCAAGCUCUUUAAUGUAUCCUCUAGGGCAUGGUGUGGCCCUAGAGGUUUGAAAGGACACGAGAAGGGUGAAAUAUUUCUACAACUUCAAUUACUCCUUGAACAGAUAUGAACUCCUGAGGACAACGUUUGGUCAUCCUGGAUUACACUAACAGGACAUACAUUAGUGCUGUGUCCAUAAGGUCUUUUAAGGAAAGAUGCUGGAGCCAUUAGUGUGAUACGAUCAGGGGCAUUCUGUGGCUGGCCUGAAAGAAUGCAGGAGAUGGCCCCUAGUAGAUGAAGAACUUAAGAACUGAGCUUCUUCUGACAGCCCAGUGAUGGGAAGAGAUGGAGCAAGAGCCAUGCAGAUGUUUCUGGGCUGAGGAUCACUUCUCAGUAAGCUUCUGGUAGCAGAACUAGCAACAGAGCUGGAGAGGUGAGGAGGAAGAUUGGGU